AAAGCAAGAUUAUGUUUAUGGAUGCAGUGCUCUAAUCAAUGCACUUCUAGUUGAAAGAUCUUCUUGCGAUACCAAAUUUUGGGGAAGGUAGGCAGUUCCGCAGUUGUAUAUCACUUUUGGGUUGAAAUUUCAAUAAUCAUUUUCCCCACAUCA